UACGUAGGGUGCAAGCGUUAAUCGGAAUUACUGGGCGUAAAGCGUGCGCAGGCGGUUUUUUAAGUCUGCCGUGAAAUCCCCGGGCUCAACCUGGGAAUUGCGUUGGAGACUGCAAGGCUGGAGUCUGGCAGAGGGGGGUAGAAUUCCACGUGUAGCAGUGAAAUGCGUAGAGAUGUGGAGGAACACCGAUGGCGAAGGCAGCCCCCUGGGUCAAGACUGACGCUCAUGCACGAAAGCGUGGGGAGCAAACAGG
rnacentral:rRNA from 1 species